rnacentral:rRNA from 1 species
GAUCCUGGCUCAGGAUGAACGCUAGCUACAGGCUCAACACAUGCAAGUCGAGGGGAAACGAUAUUGGAAGCUUGCUUCCGAUAGGCGUCGACCGGCGCACGGGUGAGUAACGCGUAUCCAACCUGCCCACCACUUGGGGAUAACCUUGCGAAAGUAAGACCAAUGCCCAAUGACAUCCCACGAAGGCAUCCGAAUGGGAUUAAAGAUUUAUCGGUGAUGGAUGGGGAUGCGU